GUCUGGAGUCCAGGGCCACAAACUGCUGUAAGAAGAGUAGAACCUGUUCUCAAUGGAUACAGCCAUAUACCUUCCUUCAGAAAACCUUCCUGUGGUCCUCACCAGAAGCAGAUGCUGACACCAUGCUUCUUGUACAGCCUGCAGAAUGAUCCCAGAAAAUUUUAUCAAGAAGCUAAAGAUUAGAAAGAAAAGCAGGAAGCAUGGGAAAAGGCGAAAAAGAGAAAAAAGGAAAAAGAAGGGAAAAGGAAAAACAAAAAAUGAUUCUGCUGACAGACUGCACCAGACCUGGCCUGGCACUUACUAAGGACACACCUGGUAUACAAAGGCAGCUCUGAACAUUGAUGAGCCUCGUUGACUGCUUUGGGACAGUACCUGCUUCUAGCUCUGCUGUUGAAACUCGAGGACUUUUAUCAGAAAUUAGCAACUAUUUCUCAAGUGUUUUGGCCAAUAU
rnacentral:lncRNA from 13 species